AUGUGCAUCCCCUUCAAUCUCCCUCUGCAACCUCCAUCUCUGAACCAUACUUUCUUCAAAGCUCUGCAACCUCCAUCUCUGAACCAUACUUUCUUCAAAGCUCUGCAACCUCCACCUUCAAUCUUCACUUUCCUUCUUCAUCGUCAACCUCCAAUCAACAACAAUCCACAACAAUCAUCAUCAGCACCAAUCCGUGAAUAUCUUCAUCUUCAUCACCUUCAACCUUCAUUUUAG